GAUGCAUAGCCGACCUGAGAGGGUGAUCGGCCACACUGGGACUGAGACACGGCCCAGACUCCUACGGGAGGCAGCAGUAGGGAAUCUUCGGCAAUGGACGAAAGUCUGACCGAGCAACGCCGCGCGAGUGAAGAAGGUUUUCGGAUCGUAAAACUCUGUUGUUAGAGAAGAACAAGGAUGAGAGUAGAACGUUCAUCCCUUGACGGUAUCUAACCAGAAAGCCACGGCUAAGUACGUGCCAGCAGCCGCGGUAAUACGUAGGUGGCAAGCGUUGUCCGGAUUUAUUGGGCGUAAAGCGAGCGCAGGCGGUUUCUUAAGUCUGAUGUGAAAGCCCCCGGCUCAACCGGGGAGGGUCAUUGGAAACUGGGAGACUUGAGUGCAGAAGAGGAGAGUGGAAUUCCAUGUGUAGCGGUGAAAUGCGUAGAUAUAUGGAGGAACACCAGUGGCGAAGGCGGCUCUCUGGUCUGUAACUGACGCUGAGGCUCGAAAGCGUGGGGAGCGAACAGGAUUAGAU
rnacentral:rRNA from 1 species